UCCAGCAUGGUGUAGUGGCUUGAGCAUUAGACUAUGACUCUUGAGACCAGGGUUCAAAUCCCCGCUCAGCCA